rnacentral:rRNA from 1 species
GCUGACAUAAGUCGGUUCAUUAAAGCCGCAAGGUGCUUGGUGAGGGGCUUGCGUCCGAUUAGCUAGUUGGUGGGGUAAUGGCCUACCAAGGCUUCGAUCGGUAGCUGGUCUGAGAGGAUGAUCAGCCACACUGGGACUGAGACACGGCCCAGACUCCUACGGGAGGCAGCAGCAAGGAAUCUUGGGCAAUGGGCGAAAGCCUGACCCAGCAACGCCGCGUGAGGGAUGAAGGCUUUCGGGUUGUAAACCUCUUUUCACAGGGAAGAAUAAUGACGGUACCUGUGGAAUAAGCUUCGGCUAACUACGUGCCAGCAGCCGCGGUAAUACGUAGGAAGCAAGCGUUAUCCGGAUUUAUUGGGCGUAAAGUGAGCGUAGGUGGUCUUUCAAGUUGGAUGUGAAAUUUCCCGGCUUAACCGGGACGUGUCAUUCAAUACUGUUGGACUAGAGUACAGCAGGAGAAAACGGAAUUCCCGGUGUAGUGGUAAAAUGCGUAGAUAUCGGGAGGAACACCAGAGGCGAAGGCGGUUUUCUAGGUUGUCACUGACACUGAGGCUCGAAAGCGUGGGGAGCGAACAGAAUUAGAUACUCUGGUAGUCCACGCCUUAAACUAUGGACACUAGGUAUAGGGAGUAUCGACCCUCUCUGUGCCGAAGCUAACGCUUUAAGUGUCCCGCCUGGGCCGUCAAUUCCUUUGAAAGUAUCCUGAGCCAGGAUCAAACUCUAAUCGAAUU